UACGUAGGGUGCAAGCGUUAAUCGGAAUUACUGGGCGUAAAGUGUGCGCAGGCGGCCGCGCAAGUCGAGUGUGAAAGCCCCGGGCUUAACUUGGGAAUUGCGCUCGAAACUACGUGGCUGGAGUGUGGCAGAGGAAGGUGGAAUUCCAGGUGUAGCGGUGAAAUGCGUAGAGAUCCGGAGGAACACCGACGGCGCAGGCAGCGUCCUGGCCGCUUGCUGACACUGAGGCACGAAAGCUGGGGGAGCAAACAGG
rnacentral:rRNA from 1 species